CCUACGGGAGGCAGCAGUGGGGAAUAUUGCACAAUGGGGGAAACCCUGAUGCAGCGACGCCGCGUGAGUGCAGAAGUAAUUCGUUAUGUAAAGCUCUAUCAGCAGGGAAGAAAAUGACGGUACCUGAGUAAGAAGCCCCGUCUAACUACGUGCCAGCAGCCGCGGUAAUACGUAGGGGGCAAGCGUUAUCCGGAUUUACUUGGUGGAAAGGGAGCGUAGACGGCAGUGCAAGUCUGGAGUGAAAGGCGGGGGCUCAACCCCCGGAAUGCUCUGGAAACUGUACGGCUGGAGUGCAGGAGAGGUAAGUGGAAUGUCUAGUGUAGCGGUGAAAUGCGUAGAUAUUAGGAGGAACACCAGUGGCGAAGGCGGCUUACUGGACUGUAACUGACGUUGAGGCUCGAAAGCGUGGGGAGCAAACAGGAUUAGAUACCCCUGUAGUC
rnacentral:rRNA from 1 species